rnacentral:rRNA from 1 species
UACGUAGGGUCCGAGCGUUGUCCGGAAUUACUGGGCGUAAAGAGCUCGUAGGUGGUUUGUCGCGUUGUUCGUGAAAACUCACAGCUUAACUGUGGGCGUGCGGGCGAUACGGGCAGACUUGAGUACUGCAGGGGAGACUGGAAUUCCUGGUGUAGCGGUGGAAUGCGUAGAUAUCGGGAGGAACACCAGUGGCGAAGGCGGUUGCCUGGAGCUUUGCUGACGCUGAGGCGCGAAAGCGUGGGGAGCGAUCCGG